AAUUCUCUGAAGCUAUAAGCUUGGAGAAGGUGGUUUUGGACAUGUAUACAAGGCAAGUAAAAAAAAUUUAUCAUCAAUCACAAUAAGUCAGAUUAAUCCAAAACGAAGGUAAAUCAAGCGUCCCUAUUUUUAUUAUGAUUUUCUUCCAGGGUACAUUUCCAAACAGACAAGAAGUAGCUGCCAAGAGAUUGUCAAAGAUUCACAAGGAGAAGUAGAAUUUAAGAAUGAGGUCCUGUUAUUAGCCAAGCUUCAGAAUAGGAAUUGGUUAGGCUCAUGGAGUCAUGGGAUUUCGGCUCUCUGCUGAACGCGAGGAAAGGCUUCUCAUUUAUGAGUUUGUACCUAACUCAAACCUCAGCAACUUCUUAUCUGAUCACACUAAGCGUGCCCAAUUGGAUUGGGGAAGUUGAUACAAUAUUAUACAUGGCAUAGUUCGAGUACUGAUUUACCUGCACGAAGAAUCUCAACAUCGGAUAAUUCAUUGCGAUAUCAAGACUGGUAACGUUCUGUUAGAUGCAGCACUGAAUGCAAAAAUUUCAGAUUUUGGCAAGGCAAGGUUGUUUGCUAUGGAUCAAACACAAGAUGAAACGAGUAGAAUCGUCAGCACAUAGUAACUGGUAAGUAUAAGAAUCAAACUUUUUGUCAUGCAUUAUUUAUUAAUUCAGAUAACAGCGAAAUUGAUAUUAAUUCAGAUAACAGCGAAAUUGAUGAUUAUUGUUACUAACACCAACGCUUAACAAGUAAUCUAAAGAUCUUUUUUAAUGUUUGAUAAAAA